CAGUUUUUUAAUCUGCCAUGUAACAAACAGUCAGUCUUCUAAACAGUCACUAAUAUAAAAACUAUAUACAAGUGGGGAUUUAAAACUUUUAUGUACCAUUCAAACCAAAUGCUUUAUUUAUUUUUAAUCUGUGUGUUUUGGGGUAGCAAUUCUAGAACAAAUAUUGCUGUACAUAUGCAAAUAUGAAUGCUUCUGAGCAAGUUUUAGAGGCAUAUCAUCUGACUGGAGAUGAAAGGCACAAACUUAAGUAAUCCCUAUUAUUUUUCCUGAUACUUUCUACUAUUCGUGAAUGUUGGUUCUGACUGUAUAUCAUCCAUAUAUAGAUAUUUUUUAUCAAGUUUUAUAUUAGUAGUAAAAAUAUGAACAUUAAGAGUUCUUGAAAAUCACAAGCAGAAUAUAUUGUUUCUGAUGAUUUCAAAUGCAUAUGCUCAAGACAGGGAAGGGUGAAUGAAUUUAUUUUUUAUUUUUCCUUUAGGCAAAUUUCCCUUUCAUGACCAAGGAAGGAGGAAACAACGUUUUUACAGUCCUGUGCAGUGCCUGUUACUAGAAAUGAUUUUCACUUUGUUCCUGAAAAGUAUGCCAAGUUUACUGGAGUCUCAACUGGGGUAUCUCUGAACUGGAGACUCUGGACUGGUGACUGAAAUUAUUUAGAAAAGACUAAUUAUGUGUGUGAGCAAUCUAAGUUGGAAGUUUGUGAAGUGGAGCUGUCCCGUGGCCAGUGAGAAGGGUUUUUUCCUAGCACCAAAGCGAGGGUACGUGUGUCCGAUGGGGAUGGGGUAAGGCGUGCGGCCGCGGCCAGCUCGGCUGCUUUGGAAGAGCGCGCCUUGUGAAGCCAAGCAAGAUGUGACCUUGGGAAUGCUGUCCCUGCAGCAGUGGGAAGCCAUUGCUUUCAGCAGGGCUUGUGGAGCAGUGGGAGGCAAUGAGGAGGUGUGGGAGCAGCAGAGGGGCCUGAGCUUGCUCCCAGGCUGCCACAGUAACAACGGGCCCGGAGGGAUCCUGAACAUCUCUGCUGCCGGCGCCACCUCAGCCGCGGUAAAGCCCAGGGUCCUGGUUUCACCUGCCACUGCUACACAGGUGUUUUCACUGCAGAGUAAAUGCUGCAUUGUUAAAGAAAUACAAGGCUUUUCCUGCAUAAUUUCUACAAAGUCAUGAGUUAAAACUUUGAAACAGUCAUAUUGAAACAGAGCACUCACCCAGUUUUAUUUAUUCAAGCUUUUGUCCCUGGAGUGGACAGGGCACUGUGAAGGUACUAACCAGUGCUGCUCUUCUCCUCACAGGCCGUUGUGUCACCUCUCAGCCUUACCAGUGGCCUCUCCGCAUUCACUUCAAACCUUUCUCCAACAGAUGUGGCCAUAUAAAGUCAGUGAAUUGUAACCCCAUGCAGCCAACACACAGUGUGUUUCUUUCAGUAUUUUAAUACAAAUAUAUGCUCUAGAAAGGGAACUUCUCUGUCAUUUUUCUUACCUCUCCUUAUGAUGAAUUUCCCAUGAAUUUUAUUUGCUCUGUGCUUUUCUACUCUGUAUAGGAAAUCCUUUUUUCUUAAUCCAGCUCUAAAUAUUGUGGAGCUUGCUGCCACUCUGUUACUCCAUCACUAAUGCCAGGAUUUUAGCUGUAGAAAAAAUGGCAUGGAGGAAAGGGAAUUCUGUAAACACCUAUUCUUGGAAAAUAACAAAUGAACCUAUACUGAAAUGCGUCAGUAUUAAAAACUAUAAAAUAAAUUUUUAAAAGGAUAUGAAGCCUUUUGUUACUUAUACCAACCAAACAAAUGUUAAUUAAUUAAGGGUCAAGGAAAUAUUUUUCCUAGCAUUUGUUUAUUAUUCCAAUAGAAAUCAUCAGUUUGUCUUAACUAAAGCAAAGGUGACUCCUGCAGCACAGCUCUGAUGCAGUGUAACCCCUACAGACACUGACUUCAGAAAAACAGUACUUACCAUAUUAUUUGUUUAAACAAAUCAAACACAUUUGAAUGAGAAACUAGCAGUGUUUAAGACAAGAAACUUCAGCAGUGUUUAAAAAACUUGGUGCUAAUGAUUAGGAGUGUUUAAGAAACACUAAUCUUUGCAUGAAACUAUUAAGCUCUGUUUUUUUACCAUUAAUGAGCAGGAAAUGCAUGUUUGCACAGGAGGGUCAUGCUUCGAUAGUUUAAUCUUUUACUUAGGUUAAUUUUUAUUCAACAUGAUAAUGACUUAGUGCACUAACUUUUCACUGUUCAUUCAAUUUUUCUCUGUAACUUUCAUGGUCACCAUUUUAUUAGAUUUAGCAGAAGAGAAAAACAGGUCUUGUAGAUUGUUUUUUAAUCAUCUCACAUUUUGCUGGUAGGGAGAUCCUUUUGCUGAGGAAUUAAACUUUGGUAGCAGUCAAAACUGGUCUUAUUUAAAAAAGUAAACUGCCUCUGACCUGACUGUUUUUCAUCUUGACAAGCAGUAAAGCUGAAUAUAAGCACAACUUUUUUCUGUAUUUAUAUUUCAUAAAGACCAGUUGGCAACACUUCUUAGUUCUAUUGGCUGUGCCAACAUCAUGUGUUAUGUCUACACAAUGAAAAACUUUGUGAUACAUUAUCCCUUCUCACCCACAUCAUGAUGCUUAAGAAAGUGGCAUGCCAGGCCAUAAACUUCUACUUCUCCAGAAGCCAUGACAUGCAAAAUUGCUGACCAAACACACUGUUUAGUUCAUGCAGCCUCCACAUACCUCCCACUGUCUGAUCUGCAGUGUUCCAACAGCUGUAGUUAUACACAGUGGAACUAACAUUCUGUAGCACUUGUGUUUAAAGUUUCAGAUAGUUCCAUGCAAAUUGCCCAGUAAAUCAUAAUUUAUCAUUUUUUGUUUUUGUAGAAGUACCUAAGGAUAGCAGUUGAAAUCACAGGCUCAUUUUAUAAGGGGUGCCAGAAAGAUACAUAAAUAAGUAACUAUCUUAUUUCUCCAAACAGCUUAUUAUUUUUUGCAUUAGAGAGUUGAUUAAAUACAAAAAGGUGAGAUUAAAAUCCCCCCCACAGUGUACAUUUACAAAUUAAAUGUGUGUGAAUUACUCUAUAUAGAAAACCAAGAGCUCUUAUAUACACACUACAUACUAUCAAAGGCUAGCAGAAACACCAAAAAUGCUUUUAUCUGAAUUUUAAGAGUAUUUUGCACAGAUGUGCUUCUAAAUU